GAUAGGUGAAGAACUCUGGAAUGAGUCUUCACCCAAAAGACGCUUACACUAUGCUUGUAGGCGCCGCCCAAGGAUGGGGCCGCGACCGAUCAGGUUGUUGGUGAGGUAAUGGCUCACCAAGCCUUUUACCGGUGCGGGCCGUGAGAGCGGGAGCCCGGAGAUGGGCACUGAGACAAGGGCCCAGGCCCUACGGGGCGCAGCAGUCGCGAAAACUUUGCAAUAAGCGAAAGCUUGACAGGGCUAUCCCGAGUGCCAUCCGCUGAGGAAGGCUUUUACCCAGUCUAGAACGCUGGGGGAAUAAGGAGAGGGCAAGUCUGGUGUCAGCCGCCGCGGUAAUACCAGCUCUCCGAGUGGUGUGGAUGUUUAUUGGGCCUAAAGCAUCCGUAGCUGGCUAGGUUAGUCCCUUGUUAAAUCCACCGAAUUAAUCGUUGGAUUGCGGGGGAUACUGCCUGGCUAGGGGACGAGAGAGGCAGACGGUAUUUCCGGGGUAGGGGUGAAAUCCUAUAAUCCCGGGAAGACCACCAGUGGCGAAGGCUGUCUGCUAGAACGCGCCCGACGGUGAGGGAUGAAAGCUGGGGGAGCGAACCGGAUUAGAUACCCGGGUAGUCCCAGCUGUAAACGAUGCAGACUAGGUGUUUGGACGGCCACGUGCCGUUCUAGUGCCGCAGGGAAGCUGUUAAGUCUGCCGCCUGGGGAGUACGAUCGCAAGAUUGAAACUUA
rnacentral:rRNA from 1 species